GAAAAACCUGGACUCGUCUUUGGGAAAAUCCGAACUUGACCUUUGACAACGCCGACUCGAAAUAGAAAAAACCGGGAUUCGAAACAAGGACUCUCUGUACGAGAAUGGAAAGUUUUUUCCUAGAGGAAUAGAUCAGUUAAUUGCGACGGCGUAUCGCUUUAAAUCCAUCUCUUGUCGUCGCUGUCGUGGUUUUCCAUCGACGAGAAAUCAACUUUCCAUCAAGGUAUCGCAGGCUCAGAAUGGG